UUAAUACAUGCAAGUCGAACGAGAAGCCAGAGCUUGCUCUGGUGGAAAGUGGCGAACGGGUGAGUAACACGUGAGAAACCUGCCCCAAAGAUUGGGAUAAAGCCUUGGAAACGAGGUCUAAUACCAAAUACCUUCUUUUAACACAUGUUAAAAGAAGAAAUGCUCCGGCGCUUUGGGAUGGUCUCGCGAUCUAUCAGCUUGUUGGUGAGGUAACGGCUCACCAAGGCAUCGACGGAUAGCUGGUCUGAGAGGAUGUCCAGCCACAUUGGAACUGAGACACGGUCCAAACUCCUACGGGAGGCAGCAGUAGGGGAAUCUUGCACAAUGAGGGAAACCUUGAUGCAGCGACGCCGCGUGCGGGACGAAGGCCCUAGGGUUGUAAACCGCUUUCAGUAGGGACGAAAGUGACGGUACCUACAGAAGAAGCCCCGGCCAACUAUGUG
rnacentral:rRNA from 1 species